rnacentral:rRNA from 1 species
AUCGAACGCUGGCGGCAGGCUUAACACAUGCAAGUCGAACGAGUGGCGGACGGGUGAGUAAUGCUUGGUAAACUUGCUUAUGGAGGGGGAUAACUACUGGAAACUGUCGCUUAUACCGCCUUCCCUACGAUGAGCCCAUAUGGGAUUAGGUAGUUGGUGGGGUAAAGGCUCACCAAGGCGACGAUCCCUAGCUGGUCUGAGAGGAUGACCAGCCAAACUGGAACUGAGACACGGCCCAGACUCCUACGGGAGGCAGCAGUGGGGAAUAUUGCACAAUGGGGGCAAGCCUGACGCAGCCAUGCCGCGUGAGUGAAGAAGGCCUUCGGGUUGUAAAGUACUUUCGGUAGGGAGGCGUUAACUACAGAAGAAGAACCGGCUAACUCCGUGCCAGCAGCCGCGGUAAUUC